GACGCUGAGGAGCGAAAGGGUGGGGAGCAAACAGGCUUAGAUACCCUGGUAGUCCACCCCGUAAACGUUGGGAACUAGUUGUGGGGUCCCUUCCACGGAUUCCGUGACGCAGCUAACGCAUUAAGUUCCCCGCCUGGGGAGUACGGCCGCAAGGCUAAAACUCAAAGGAAUUGACGGGGACCCGCACAAGCGGCGGAGCAUGCGGAUUAAUUCGAUGCAACGCGAAGAACCUUACCAAGGCUUGACAUACACGAGAACGGGCCAGAAAUGGUCAACUCCUUGGACACUCGUGAACAGGUGGUGCAUGGUUGUCGUCAACUCGUGUCGUGAGAUGUUGGGUUAAGUCCCGCAACGAGCGCAACCCUCGUUCUAUGUUGCCAGCACGUAAUGGUGGGAACUCAUGGGAUACUGCCGGGGUCAACUCGGAGGAAGGUGGGGAUGACGUCAAAUCAUCAUGCCCCUUAUGUCUUGGGCUUCACGCAUGCUACAAUGGCCGGUACAAAGGGCUGCAAUACCGUGAGGUGGAGCGAAUCCCAAAAAGCCGGUCCCAGUUCGGAUUGAGGUCUGCAACUCGACCUCAUGAAGUCGGAGUCGCUAGUAAUCGCAGAUCAGCAUUGCUGCGGUGAAUACGUUCCCGGGCCUUGUACACACCGCCCGUCA
rnacentral:rRNA from 1 species